UUUGGUUGGUUUUGAAUGAGUUUGAUGAUUUUCGCACCUGGCGACGGCCACCACACUCAGGAAUGUCGCAGUUUGUCUACCUUAAAAAUAGUCUAUGCCGGGCACGUUCCGUUCCUCUCGACGACCGAGAGUGAAAGACAGAUCGAGGCACAGUCGUCUAUCAUUUGCAGCACCACUGACGUAAAAGUUUUCACUGGGAUUGCGUGAAUAGAAGUGGGAUGAAGUUGUGGCUAUGUGGGCAGGAUACGAAUUGAUUCGAUUGAAAGCUCAACUGGUGUUGGAAUUUCGUAAUAUUUAUUUGGGGGUGAAAUUUGAAAAAAAGGUUAAAAUAAUUUAAGCAAUUAUAACAAAGGCGAUUUGAUGAACUUGCUGCAGCUUGGAACAACUGAUUGCACCGAUUUCAACCAUAACUACAGAUAACUAAUCAACCAGCAGCGUUUUUUGCUUCAAGCAUUCGAAUGACUUUGCCAAAAGCCAGUUUUCAACAAGCCAAAUUCGCAAAAAUCCUCUGCAAGAACGAGACGCAAAUAAAGAGAGCUAAAUUAUUGAAAUUCAACAUCUUUUUCGAAAGAAUGUACCAUAUCACGUUACACUAGUGUGAAAAAGGUGACUGACGCGGAUUCAAUCGACCAGAAACAACUGAAGAGCUGGAAAUUCUGACACGUGAAAAGGCAGAAUGAGUCGUUGUUCGAAUAAUAGGUUAAUUAGGGUGUUAAUUUUUCGAAAUUUUACUCUGUAAAUUGCACAUAAAUUUCUCUCUUUGAACACUUUGUUCUCCUCUUUCUAUCUCUUUUGAUAUCUCUUUGCAUGUCAGUUUGACACUUAAAACCACACAAAUAAGUCAUUUGCUGAUGAUGGCAACAGUGAUGCCUGAUUUUAUGAUAGUUUUAGCUGAAAUAAAAUAUCAAACCGUAACUUUUUCAUUGGUUAAAAAAAUGUUUUGUUUUGUUUGGAAUCUGGCAUCGGAUUUGAAUGACAAAAAAUCAAGAUUCCCUCAGAACCAAACAAGAAGAAGUUCUCAGAAUCAACCAACCAACCAUAGCAAAAAAAAAAGUGAAAAUUCAAAAGAGAAAGUGAAUCAAAAAACCAUGAAGAUGAAAACAAUUCAAAUCGUCACC